CGGGAAAUGAUGACACUCAUGACUGCUGACAUGGCUGUGAUUUCUCUUGUAUUCGUACUGGCUGAUCCCA
ensembl:snoRNA